rfam:Pseudomonas aeruginosa PAO1, complete genome.
GAAGAAUCUCCUUUCAUCGUGGUGUUGGUACGUUGAGGAAGUCGUCUUGCAUGAGGCGGCGCCGUGCUUGCCGGGCUUUGCAUCCCUAGCCGGUCGAAGGGGCCGCUGGGGAUAAAACUCGCAAGUUCCGGUGACAGAUCGGGGAAAAAAUCUCGGGAGCAUCGAAUUGUUUUCGCAGCCUUUCCUCGGGUGUUCGCAGGCUCUGCGCCGGGCCU